GUGAGUAAAAUAUUAUCAUGAAGCAAAGCCUAGACAAAAAGGGGCCCAGAUGUGGUCCCAACUGAACCACCUACCUCUGAAUAAGGCCAACCAACAGACCUAAACCUGCUCAGCAAUUCCAAAAGCCUAAUGUCUAGCCAGCGGCUUGGAUGUGUGUGUGUGUGUGUGUGUGUGUGUGUGUGUGUGUGUGUGUGUGUGUGUGUGUAAUUGAUAGGGGGUGUUAUAAGGUCUUACUUAGCAAGCAGUUUUUAUUCAAAAAUCCAUCCCCAGUGCCUUGCUUCCAUUCUCAAAAGGGGAGGGGGGGGAUGCAGUGGAGAAAUGCUGUAUAGUCUUCCUGCUUGGUUACCAGAGCCUUUCCGGAACGUAAUUCUCUCUGAAUGAAAUCUCAAAGGAUUGAGCCUGUGCUAAAGUUUCUAGUAUGAGAACUGCACCAAGGUGAUAACGCAAUUAAUCUGAGUAAUACUUCAAACGUCUUGCUAAUACAUACAUCAUGUAUAUGUAUAUGCAUAUGUAUAUGUGUGUAUGUGUAUAUGUAUGUGAUGUAUAUGUAUGUGUAUAUGCAUUGCCAGUUUAGACUGUGUUCAUGGGGUGAUUUCAAAAAUUAGCCUCAGAGGUUUGUGAAUUUGCUCAAAUUAAAAGGAUAAAGGUGUGUCAGUAUAAGAAGAACCGGCUGCCUCUUCUUAAUAUUUUCUAAUAUAGUUUAACAGCAUUCUGAACGGCUACACUGCAGCCUUUCUCGGUUCACUUCCUAGACUCUGCAGCAAAAGUCUGUGAUUAUUAUUUAAGGAUCACGGUGAUUCCCUUCACGGCAUGGGGGAAUAAAGAAAAGCAAGAACAGGGCUAUUAUCCUGUGUUUAUAACAAGUCUGUUGCCAUAGUAACGCCUGUGAUGUCACAAAUGCUACACCCAGGGCCAGAAGCUGUCUCCGAGGGGGAGGGGCAGCUUGGCCUUGGAAAAUGGACACAAGCAUUCGAGGCCAAAGCAGGGUCAACAGCGAGGUAAUCAUGGAAACACAGGGAGCUCCCUUCACCAGAGAAAGGAAGAGGGUGGAGCAGGGCCAAAAAAGCAACUCCCUGGGCCCGGAAGUGAGCUCAACCAUGCUUCUUAUACGCAGCUGUGCAAAAGGAGUGGAAAUCCAAGCGAAUGUGGUACCUCUGUGUUCCCAGUCAGGAGCACUCCACUGGGCUCACUGGCUGCCAAGACGUGAAUGGGAUCCAGGGUCUGCCCUAGCUCACGAAACUGCCGGGAACCAGUGCCUGCCCAGACAGAGACUCUAAGGCCCGCAAGAGAUGCAAGUGCCUCACAUGGCAGCCCCCGAGAGCCUAGCUAGGACGUUCCCACCAAAACUCAUCAGACUCAGAGAGCCACAGAUUCUUA
rnacentral:lncRNA from 1 species